CUAGUAUGUACACUUCAUUGUCAGACCAUUUAAUUGGUAAACUACAUGGUAAUGUAAAAGUAUGGUAUAAAUAAGGAAGAGAUGGACGUUCUGCUACUCCACUUCUACUACUUGCAAGCUUCCUUUUUUGUGCUUUUCAUUUCGAGAUUUUCUAAGCGCAAUUAUGUCUAUGUCCAGUUCGGAGGAGUGCUGUGCGAGCUGGUGAGACAAUACAAUAACCUGUAUAACCCUUCGAUGGGGAUAUAUUCGGACAAGCAAGGAAAAGACAACAGCUAGAAGGAUAUAUCACGAAAUUUGAACACCAAUACUGAUAUCAAAGAAACAUAGAGAAAGACCGGUAUGUACGCAAUCUGAAAAGGGUGAAGGAGACGAGGAAUGGGGCUGCCGCAGGUGUUGGAGGAGUAUGGGGUUUUGGACAGUCCAGAGAUGGAGCUGAGCCCAGAGGACCCAUCUACAGGUGGUUCAUCGCCCCUUGAUUCAUCAUCUCCCUGGCCUGGUUCAUCACCUCUCCGGCCCCUCUCCCCAACGCCCAGGCCCUUCUUACCAACACCCAACCCACAAUCCAGGCGCACCCGUGCUCUCUGCCAUGCAACUCCAUCAACCUCCACCCCAUCUCCCCGAUCCAGCUCCAAUGCCCAGAAGAGGAAGACAGCUGAGGAUCCUUUGGACACUGACAUUAUGCAGCGGGUGCAUGACUUAAAAAAAACGGCAGCAGGAGUUACAGAAACAGCAGCAGUGUCCAGCAAAGGCCGUCUACGAUGUCAUGGUACCAUGGAUGAUGUCUAUUCCUGCUGAUCAACGUCUCCCGUUUGUCUCACCCCUAAACCUGUUGUGUGCUUUUUUUCUUAUUCAUACGUUAUGGUGGCGAGUAACUUACUUGGGGGGGUUGCAUGUUUUUUGUACUUAUUUCCUCAUUCAUAUGUUACUGGUUUUUACUUAGUUUUUUCUCUUAUUUUCGACUUUCAUCACACUUUUCACCUGUGUAUUGCAUUGUACUAUUUUCCUCUUGUGAUAGUAAAUAAAUAUCUAAAAGGAC
rnacentral:lncRNA from 1 species